UACGAAGGGGGCUAGCGUUGCUCGGAAUCACUGGGCGUAAAGCGCACGUAGGCGGCUUUCUAAGUCAGGGGUGAAAUCCUGGAGCUCAACUCCAGAACUGCCUUUGAUACUGGCGGGCUUGAGUGCGGCAGAGGGGGGUGGAAUUCCGCGUGUAGCAGUGAAAUGCGUAGAGAUGCGGAGGAACACCGAUGGCGAAGGCAGCCCCCUGGGUCGACACUGACGCUCAGGCACGAAAGCGUGGGGAGCAAACAGG
rnacentral:rRNA from 1 species